rnacentral:lncRNA from 1 species
UGAGCAUGUGCGUUGUGGAUUACAUUUUCCCUGUAUAUGCCUGUUCCGCAUCAUGAUAUGAGUCUAAGGUAUGAGUAUAUAACGACCAUGAGGCAAGCCUGAGUGUUCUGGGGCUAGUUUCUCGGUGAAAUGACAUGUCUCUGUGUAGUGGUGCAAGGCUAGAUGUUGUGGGUCAAGUCUGGUGAGGUGAGUGGAAUACCAACUUCAUGUACACUUGGCUUAUUCAGCACCCAUAAAAUUCAAUGGACCACCAUCCGGACAAAAGGAUAAAAACAGAACACAUCAAGAUAAUGAAUUUUCUUCAAACUACUGAGGUACAAUGAAAAAUGGAAAUAUUAUCUCAGAAAUUACAACAGAGGGAUGAAGAUAUAGCAUAUGCUGUACCUAAAAGAUACAUCAAAUGGGACAUUGGGAAUAUGGAUUGAUGAAAUUUAAUUUGCGAUUGUCCUAUAAUGCCUUUUCAUUACAGUACCACACAAAUUGAGGCAAUAAAUGUAUAUUUGAUCAAAAAAG